rnacentral:misc_RNA from 1 species
GUAGGAGUGAGCCUGCUCGCGAUCACGGUGUGUCAGCUAUAUAUCGUUCGACUGACACGACCUCAUCGCGAGCAGGCUCACUCCUAC